CCCAGAGAGCAGAGGCAGGCUCCAUAAAGUCGAUGGCAGGGUCCAUUGUUGGGGCACUUGCACUUUCGUCUGCAGUUCUUUCCAAAAUAGCCCCUCAGGCAACCUAUGAUUCCUGUCCAGCCAGGCGAGCAAUCACAUUGGUCCUUGUUUUCACUACAUGCUCCAUUCACACAGUCGUCACAGCUCACACUACAGUCAUCCCCAAAGGAGCCCUCUAGGCACACUGAAAAGGAAAUGGUAAACUCCAAAUUACUUUUCUUGUCUGUAGAUUUACAGAGGGGGCAAUAAAAUAGUAUUGAUUUGAUCA